rnacentral:siRNA from 1 species
AUCUGCUAACUAUUUUGAUGCAUG